GCAAGUCGAACGAGAAAGUUUCUUCGGAAGCGAGUAUAGUGGCGAACGGGUGAGUAACACGUAAGAAUCUACCUUCUAGUAAAGAAUACCUUCGAGAAAUUGAAGUUAAUACUGUAUAAUCCCUCCGGGGGAAAGACGGCCUCUUUGCUGUCGCUAGAAGAUGAGCUUGCGGACUAUUAGCUUGUUGGUGGGGUAAUGGCCUACCAAGGCAAUGAUGGAUAGCCGACCUGAGAGGGUGACC
rnacentral:rRNA from 1 species